rnacentral:tRNA from 1 species
GCAGUGGUGGUUCAGUGGUAGAAUUCUGGUCUUCCAGUCUGGAGACCCAGAGUUAGAUUCCCAGCCAAUGCA